AGAGUUUGAUCCUGGCUCAGGACGAACGCUGGCGGCACGCUUAACACAUGCAAGUCGAACGAGAGAAGAGGAGCUUGCUUUUCUGAUCUAGUGGCGGACGGGUGAGUAACACGUGAGCAAUCUGCCUUUCAGAGGGGGAUACCGAUUGGAAACGAUCGUUAAUACCGCAUAACAUAAUUGAACCGCAUGAUUUGAUUAUCAAAGAUUUAUCGCUGAAAGAUGAGCUCGCGUCUGAUUAGCUAGUUGGUAAGGUAACGGCUUACCAAGGCGACGAUCAGUAGCCGGACUGAGAGGUUGAUCGGCCACAUUGGGACUGAGACACGGCCCAGACUCCUACGGGAGGCAGCAGUGGGGAAUAUUGCACAAUGGAGGAAACUCUGAUGCAGCGAUGCCGCGUGAGGGAAGAAGGUUUUAGGAUUGUAAACCUCUGUCUUCAGGGACGAAAAAAGACGGUACCUGAGGAGGAAGCUCCGGCUAACUACGUGCCAGCAGCCGCGGUAAUACGUAGGGAGCGAGCGUUGUCCGGAAUUACUGGGUGUAAAGGGAGCGUAGGCGGGAUCGCAAGUCAGAUGUGAAAACUAUGGGCUUAACCCAUAAACUGCAUUUGAAACUGUGGUUCUUGAGUGAAGUAGAGGUAAGCGGAAUUCCUAGUGUAGCGGUGAAAUGCGUAGAUAUUAGGAGGAACAUCAGUGGCGAAGGCGGCUUACUGGGCUUUAACUGACGCUGAGGCUCGAAAGCGUGGGGAGCAAACAGGAUUAGAUACCCUGGUAGUCCACGCCGUAAACGAUGAUUACUAGGUGUGGGGGGACUGACCCCUUCCGUGCCGCAGCAAACGCAAUAAGUAAUCCACCUGGGGAGUACGACCGCAAGGUUGAAACUCAAAGGAAUUGACGGGGGCCCGCACAAGCAGUGGAGUAUGUGGAUUAAUUCGAAGCAACGCGAAGAACCUUACCAGGUCUUGACAUCGUAUGCAUAGCUCAGAGAUGAGUGAAAUCUCUUCGGAGACAUAUAGACAGGUGGUGCAUGGUUGUCGUCAGCUCGUGUCGUGAGAUGUUGGGUUAAGUCCCGCAACGAGCGCAACCCUUACUGUUAGUUGCUACGCAAGAGCACUCUAGCAGGACUGCCGUUGACAAAACGGAGGAAGGUGGGGAUGACGUCAAAUCAUCAUGCCCCUUAUGACCUGGGCCUCACACGUACUACAAUGGCUGUCAACAGAGGGAAGCAAAGCCGCGAGGUGGAGCGAACCCCUAAAAGCAGUCUUAGUUCGGAUUGUAGGCUGCAACCCGCCUACAUGAAGUCGGAAUUGCUAGUAAUCGCAGAUCAGCAUGCUGCGGUGAAUACGUUCCCGGGCCUUGUACACACCGCCCGUCACGCCAUGGGAGUCGGUAGCACCCGAAGCCUGUAGUCUAACCGCAAGGAGGACGCAGUCGAAGGUGGGAUUGAUGACUGGGGUGAAGUCGUAACAAGGUA
rnacentral:rRNA from 1 species